rnacentral:rRNA from 1 species
GACGAACGCUGGCGGCGUGCUUAACACAUGCAAGUCGAACGAUGAAGCUGGAGCUUGCUCCGGUGGAUUAGUGGCGGACGGGUGAGUAACACGUGGGUAACCUGCCCAUAAGACUGGGAUAACUCCGGGAAACCGGGGCUAAUACCGGAUAAUAUUUUGAACUGCAUGGUUCAAAAUUGAAAGGCGGCUUCGGCUGUCACUUAUGGGUGGACCCGCGUCGCAUUAGCUAGUUGGUGAGGUAACGGCUCACCAAGGCAACGAUGCGUAGCCGACCUGAGAGGGUGAUGGGCCACACUGGGACUGAGACACGGCCCAGACUCCUACGGGAGGCAGCAGUAGGGAAUCUUCCGCAAUGGACGAAAGUCUGACGGAGCAACGCCGCGUGAGUGAUGAAGGCUUUCGGGUCGUAAAACUCUGUUGUUAGGGAAGAACAAGUGCUAGUUGAAUAAGCUGGCACCUUGACUGUACCUAACCAGAAAGCCACGGCUAACUACGUGCCAGCCGCCGCAGUAA